UGGGGAAUAUUGCACAAUGGGGGAAACCCUGAUGCAGCGACGCCGCGUGAGCGAAGAAGGUUUUCGAAUCGUAAAGCUCUGUCCUAUGGGAAGAUAAUGACGGUACCAUAGGAGGAAGCCCCGGCUAACUACGUGCCAGCAGCCGCGGUAAUACGUAGGGGGCAAGCGUUGUCCGGAAUCACUGGGCGUAAAGGGUUCGCAGGCGGAAAUGCAAGUCAGUUGUGAAAGGCAGAGGCUCAACCUCUGUAAGCAAUUGAAACUGUAUUUCUUGAGAUGUGGAGAGGCAAGUGGAAUUCCUAGUGUAGCGGUGAAAUGCGUAGAUAUUAGGAAGAAUACCGGUGGCGAAGGCGACUUGCUGGACACAAACUGACGCUGAGGAACGAAAGCGUGGGUAACAAACAGG
rnacentral:rRNA from 1 species